rnacentral:misc_RNA from 1 species
UGGCUCUUGCAUCGAUGAAGAACGCAGCGAAAUGCGAUAAGUAAUGUGAAUUGCAGAAUUCAGUGAAUCAUCGAAUCUUUGAACGCACCUUGCGCUCCUUGGUAUUCCGAGGAGCAUGCCUGUUUGAGUGUCAUGGUAUUCUCAACCCCGGCUUGCUUCUGGCAAGUCCUGGUUGGAUGUGGGGGAUUCUUGCUGGCACCUGCUGCCAGCUCCCCUGAAAUGCAUUAGCACAGACACUGCCUGUGUGUUCCUUCAGUGUAAUAAUUUUCUACGCUGUGGACACGGGGUACUUGUGCUGUCUGUGCUUCAAACCGUCCCCCCUGCUGGGACAAUUUUUGACAUCUGACCUCAAAUCAGGUAGGACUACCCGCUGA